UACGAAGGGGGCUAGCGUUGUUCGGAAUCACUGGGCGUAAAGCGCACGUAGGCGGAUGUGCCAGUCAGGGGUGAAAUCCCGGAGCUCAACUCCGGAACUGCCUCUGAUACAGCACGUCUUGAGUUCGAGAGAGGUGGGUGGAAUUCCUAGUGUAGAGGUGAAAUUCGUAGAUAUUCGGAAGAACACCAGUGGCGAAGGCGGCUCACUGGCCCGUUACCGACGCUCAGGCGCGACAGCGUGGGGAGCAAACAGG
rnacentral:rRNA from 1 species